ACGAGUUAAUGAACUGUGUUUUAACCACCUGAUGCUGGUCAAAGCUUUGAUCUAUCAGGUUUAGGGCUGGGUGGAGGAGGGGAGGUAGAGCGCUCUGCUACGCUCCCCAGUACCACCAAAACUGUUAAUCAGCCUGCUCUGCAGUCUGCUGCAGAGUUUGCUUUAUUAAAGCUCCCUGCUGCCUGCACACGUUCACUGGCACAGACAUCGAGAGACGAGCAAACACUUCCCCGAGUGCAGCGCGCUCGCUGCUGCAUUGCAGCGCUUGCUGCCAGGAAGCGAUGGGGAUUUUGUAUUCCACAACCAGCCUGUGGAGCAAGAUGUGUGCUGUCGUCCUGCUCACUCUGAUGCAGCCCAUGCUCUGGUAAUCCCACAGGACCUUGCAACAGGUUUUUAUCUUAUUCACUCACAUGGACUGGAUAUUUUCAGUAGCUGCUUGGAAAACAGGGCUGGAGCAGAUCUAAGGCUGAGAUUCAAGAACUUUCCAGUGCUUUUGCCUAGUGAAGACAAGGAGCUAAAGAGCAGGGACUAAUUUAUUCAACAGUGAUUAUAAAAACAUUUUAUUCUCUGCCCAUAGUUAACCAAUUCACUCAGAAACCACAGAAGCAGGAAUUUCUGAUGUGAAAACCUUUGGGUUCUCUGCGUGUCUUAUGUGCAAACUGCAGGGCAGAAAUUAGGAAAAACUGACACUUGCGUGAGAGUUUCAGGUACUGACUGCCACAUACACUUCAAACUUAAAUAACCAUAUUUUUUCUGCUUCAGAGGCUGACUUUGGAUGUCCUUGAAGUCUGGUAUUAUGCAUUCUGGCAGGCAAGUGGAGAAAUGAACCAGAUGCAGCAAUUUAGUCAUAUAGGGAGGUUUCUAGUAAAUUUUGCACAACGGGGUAGUGACAGUGUACUUAGUAAAGCCACAUGCCUUUGUAAAAAUAGUGCUAUUGAUUUUCUUAGUGUGUGUAUCAAAUGUUAGCACAUUCAUUAGAACAGCAGCCUUCCAAACACUGCUGUAGAGCAAGCAGCAGGCCUGGAGUCAAUAUCCAUCUGAAUACUGGCUCGCUUUCAAAGGGCAAAUUAAUAUUAGGGCAUUGACUUUUCAUGUUAGAGAGGAAAGAUUUUAAAGGGAGCAUUUAUCAAAUAGAGUUAGGCAAGAUUUAACAAAUACAGCUAGGCUGCAGGUCCUAUUUGAGCAGGCAAAGAUGUGUGCAUGCUACUGUGUACAGCACUAGCAAAAAAACAUAAUGCAUGUUUAUACAUAUAUGUAUGU